UAGCACACAACUAUGCCUCAUACGUACUUUAAGGUUAUGAAAAAAAUUGGUUAAUUUCAUUGAUAGAUAAAAAGCAAUAGUAAAAAUACAAUUACUUGAUGUCUUAUUUACUUAAAUUUCUGUUGACUUUCUUUAUGAUGGCAUGUUUAAGAAAUGAAGAACUCAAGCUGAUAAACCUUAAACCUUAUUCCUACAACAAUAAAAUAAAU
rnacentral:lncRNA from 1 species